CAGAGGAUGAUCCGCCACACUGGGACUGAGACACGGCCCAGACUCCUACGGGAGGCAGCAGUGGGGAAUUUUGGACAAUGGGCGUAAGCCUGAUCCAGCCAUGCCGCGUGUCUGAAGAAGGCCUUCGGGUUGUAAAGGACUUUUGUCCGGGAGCAAAUCCCAGUGGUUAAUACCUACUGGGGCUGAGAGUACCGGAAGAAUAAGCACCGGCUAACUACGUGCCAGCAGCCGCGGUAAUACGUAGGGUGCAAGCGUUAAUCGGAAUUACUGGGCGUAAAGCGUGCGCAGGCGGUUGUGCAAGUCUGAUGUGAAAGCCCCGGGCUUAACCUGGGAACGGCAUUGGAGACUGCACGA
rnacentral:rRNA from 2 species